AGCUGAAACAACUAAUCGAUUUAAUCGAUUAUAAUCGAUUAUUAAAAUAGUUAACAACUUUUUUAGUCAUCGAUUAGUUGUUUAAUAAUCAUAUUUUACCGCAUAAAGUCUAUUUUUUACCACAAUCUGACAUCGGUUACAAUCUGUUAAAUUUGCCGCCAGUGUGUGGCAGUAAUGAGCCACUGAUCUACCAGUGGGGCCGUAGAAGAAGAAAUUAGCCAAUAAGUGCCCUCGGUUUUCAUGACGUAUCACGUUACUGACGCGCAUCUUGCUGUGAGAGAUGGCGGAUCAACAACAAAUACGGAAGAAAAAUAGAAGCGACAAAACAAGAGAAACCCCGGACAAAAACCUCACGAGUAUGGGAGCACUUCACUAGAUGCCUUGAAAAGACCGGUGACCUACAAAAUAUGCAAAAACCAUGGCACGACGGAAGCACGACGUCCCUAAGUGAACAUUUGAGACGAAAACGUGGGGGCUGAUGCAGCAGAGGAAUGUCCGAAAAAAACAAGCAACGAUGGACAACUACAUGGGGAACAAGACACUCACCCCCAGCAAUGCAUACCACUUACAAACUCUAUUCCAGAUUCUACAUUAUUUUUUAUGGAAUUUACCUCUUAUAUUUUGAUGCCAAAAAAUUAUUCUGGACUGAUAUUUUGCACUGUUUAGCUCAUUUUACACUGCUGACUGUGGUCAUGUGCAAUAAAAUAGAUUGCAGUCAACUGCACAA